GCGGAGGGAUCAUUACUGAGUAACCGCUCUAUAACCCUUUGUGAACGUACCUAACCGUUGCUUCGGCGGGCAGGGGAAGCCUCUCGCGGGCCUCCCCUCCCGGCGCCGGCCCCCACCACGGGGACGGGGCGCCCGCCGGAGGAAACCAAACUCUAUUUACACGACGUCUCUUCUGAGUGGCACAAGCAAAUAAUUAAAACUUUUAACAACGGAUCUCUUGGUUCUGGCAUCGAUGAAGAACGCAGCGAAAUGCGAUAAGUAAUGUGAAUUGCAGAAUUCAGUGAAUCAUCGAAUCUUUGAACGCACAUUGCGCUCGCCAGCAUUCUGGCGAGCAUGCCUGUUCGAGCGUCAUUUCAACCCUCAAGCACCGCUUGGUUUUGGGGCCCCACGGCCGACGUGGGCCCUUAAAGGUAGUGGCGGACCCUCCCGGAGCCUCCUUUGCGUAGUAACUAACGUCUCGCACUGGGAUCCGGAGGGACUCUUGCCGUUAAACCCCCAAAUUCUUUACAGGUUGACCUCGGAUCAGGUAUGAAUACCCGCUGAACUUAAGCAUAUC
rnacentral:rRNA from 1 species